CCUACGGGAGGCAGCAGUGGGGAAUAUUGGGCAAUGGGCGCAAGCCUGACCCAGCAACGCCGCGUGAAGGAAGAAGGCUUUCGGGUUGUAAACUUCUUUUCUCAGGGACGAAGAACGUGACGGUACCUGAGGAAUAAGCCACGGCUAACUCCGUGCCAGCCGCCGCGGUAAGACGUAGGUGGCAAGCGUUAUCCGGAUUUAUUGGGUGUAAAGGGCGUGUAGGCGGGUGGGCAAGUCAGAUGUGAAAACUCAGGGCUCAACCCUGAGCCUGCAUUUGAAACUGGGUUUCUUGAGAGCUGGAGAGGAAAUCGGAAUGGCGGGUGUAGCGGUGAAAUGCGUAGAGAUACGGAGGAACACCAGUGGCGAAGGCGGAUUGCUGGACAGUAACUGACGGUGAGGCGCGAAAGCGUGGGGAGCAAACAGGAUUAGAUACCCUGGUAGUC
rnacentral:rRNA from 1 species